rnacentral:rRNA from 1 species
AAUAGAUACCCCGGUAGUCCACGCCGUAAACGAUGAAUGCUAGGUGUUAGGGGUUUCGAUACCCUUGGUGCCGAAGUUAACACAUUAAGCAUUCCGCCUGGGGAGUACGGCCGCAAGGCUGAAACUCAAAGGAAUUGACGGGGACCCGCACAAGCAGUGGAGUAUGUGGUUUAAUUCGAAGCAACGCGAAGAACCUUACCAGGUCUUGACAUCCCCCCUGACCGGUACAGAGAUGUACCUUUCCUUCGGGACAGGGGAGACAGGUGGUGCAUGGUUGUCGUCAGCUCGUGUCGUGAGAUGUUGGGUUAAGUCCCGCAACGAGCGCAACCCUUGACUUUAGUUGCCAGCAGGUAAGGCUGGGCACUCUAGAGUGACUGCCGGUGACAAACCGGAGGAAGGUGGGGAUGACGUCAAAUCAUCACGCCCCUUAUGACCUGGGCUACACACGUACUACAAUGGCCGGUACAACGGGAAGCGAAGGAGCGAUCUGGAGCGAAUCCUAUAAAGCCGGUCUCAGUUCGGAUUGCAGGCUGCAACUCGCCUGC